AUCAGUAAGCGGAGGAAAAGAAACUAACAAGGAUUCCCUUAGUAACGGCGAGUGAAGCGGGAAGAGCCCAGCACCGAAUCCCCUGGUUCUGCGCUAGCGGGAAUUGUGGUGUUUGGGACGCCUAUCGGCGCUGUGUCCCUGUGCCCAAGUCCUUCUGAUCGGGGCCUUUCCCAUAGUGGGUGUCAGGCCUUUAGCGGCACGGGACUAGGCGUCCUUGAGCGUCCUUGGAGUCGGGUUGUUUGGGAAUGCAGCCCUAAGCGGGUGGUAAACUCCAUCUAAGGCUAAAUACUGGCACGAGUCCGAUAGCGAACAAGUACCGUGAGGGAAAGUU
rnacentral:rRNA from 2 species